UACGUAGGGUGCAAGCGUUAAUCGGAAUUACUGGGCGUAAAGCGUGCGCAGGCGGUGAUGUAAGACAGGUGUGAAAUCCCCGGGCUUAACCUGGGAACUGCAUUUGUGACUGCAUUGCUAGAGUGUGGUAGAGGGAGAUGGAAUUCCGCAUGUAGCAGUGAAAUGCGUAGAUAUGCGGAGGAACACCAAUGGCGAAGGCAAUCUCCUGGACCUGCACUGACGCUCAUGCACGAAAGCGUGGGGAGCAAACAGG
rnacentral:rRNA from 1 species